rnacentral:rRNA from 1 species
GUAAUGCCGGAUGCUCCAUCACACCGCAUGGUGUGUUGGGAAAGCCUUUGCGGCAUGGGAUGGGGUCGCGUCCUAUCAGCUUGAUGGCGGGGUAACGGCCCACCAUGGCUUCGACGGGUAGCCGGCCUGAGAGGGCGACCGGCCACAUUGGGACUGAGAUACGGCCCAGACUCCUACGGGAGGCAGCAGUGGGGAAUAUUGCACAAUGGGCGCAAGCCUGAUGCAGCGACGCCGCGUGAGGGAUGGAGGCCUUCGGGUUGUAAACCUCUUUUGUUAGGGAGCAAGGCAUUUUGUGUUGAGUGUACCUUUCGAAUAAGCACCGGCUAACUACGUGCCAGCAGCCGCGGUAAUACGUAGGGUGCAAGCGUUAUCCGGAAUUAUUGGGCGUAAAGGGCUCGUAGGCGGUUCGUCGCGUCCGGUGUGAAAGUCCAUCGCUUAACGGUGGAUCCGCGCCGGGUACGGGCGGGCUUGAGUGCGGUAGGGGAGACUGGAAUUCCCGGUGUAACGGUGGAAUGUGUAGAUAUCGAGAGAGAA